CAAUGAUUGAAUAAUGGUUCUGUUGGAGCAUCAGUAAAAAGAGAUUGAAAGGAAAAUUAGUCUUAUAAGAGAGAACGGAAAAAUAAACACUGAUCUGGCCCACAACACGAACCAGACCUGAGCAGAAAAAAAAUGCUUGCUAAGCUAUCUGUUUCACACAUGCACGGACAGAAGGUUCGAUAUUCAUUCGAUCGAUGAAUGAAAAGGCACAAUGGCAAAAUCGGACGGGCUCCUUUUCAAAUCCACGUCUCCGAUGUCCCCCCCGCCACCCUUCCACAGUCUGCAGUCGCUCGGCGGCUGGUGUGGCAGGCAGAGUGGAAGGAGAGGAGAGAGAAAGAGUGAGGGGAGAGCAAGGGUUACAUCAAGGCUGCUCCCUGGACCGUGCAAACAAGUCUAGACCAGUGACCUGUUCAAUGGCUCCUUUUGAGGAGCGGUGCAAGUUCGGUCAGGGCGAGGAGAAAGCCAGGCGGGCCCUUCUUUUCAGUGCCGGAGCAGCUCAAAGCCCGCGGCUGCCAGGAGAUAGGAAGAGAGUGAGAUUACUCCAUACCCUGUAAGGCACACAAACAACAAGAUACCGUGACAAGAUCCUGAGGCCAUUUUCGUGCCACUCAUCCACCACCAUCACCUCAUGUUUCAGCAUGAUAAUGGACGGCCCCAUGUCGCAAGGAUCUGUAUACAAUUCCUGGAAGCUGAAAAUGUCCCAGUUUUUCCAUGGCCUGCAUACUCACCAGACAUGUCACCCAUUGAGCAUGUUUGGGAAAGGCUGGAUCGCCGUGUACGACAGCGUGUUACAGUUCCCGCCAAUAUCGAGCAACCUUGCACAGCAAUUGAAGAGUAGUGGGACAACAUUCCACAGGCCACAAUCAACAGCCUGAUCAACUCUAUGCGAAGGAGAUGUGUCGCACAGCAUGAGUCAAAUGGUGGUCACACCAAAUACUGACUGGUUUUAUGAUCCACUCCCCUACCUGUUUUAUAAAGGUUUCUGUGACCAACAGAUGCAUAUAUGUAUUACCAGUCAUGUGAAAUCCAUAGAUUAGGGCCCAAUGAAUUUAUUUCAAUUGACUGAUUUCCUUGUGAAUUGUAACUCAGUAAAAUAUUUUAGGUCAAUAUACUAUAGUUUACUAUAGCACUAUCUGUACUAUUUGUGACAUAAAUUGAGUAUGUACUAUGCUUAUUGGUCAUAGUAUACUUAGUAUGCCAAAAGAUCCCGAAUGUCGUACUGAAUUCGCCAAAAUAUGAAGUAUACAAGCAGUGGAAACUAUUUCUGAGCUUUUGGGGCCCAUAAUGCAAUUCUUCAGAAAAUGGGCAUGGCUUCACAACAUUUUCAGAUUUGAAGAAAAUGCAGCCGAAGUCCGAUGAGCAGAUCCAAACUCAUUGCUUUAACUAAUUAUGACAAUUGUUAAGAAAAUGUUCAGC
ensembl:lncRNA